rnacentral:rRNA from 1 species
GACGAACGCUGGCGGCGUGCUUAACACAUGCAAGUCGAACGGAAAGGCCCUGCUUUUGUGGGGUGCUCGAGUGGCGAACGGGUGAGUAACACGUGAGUAAACUGCCCUUGACUUUGGGAUAACUUCAGGAAACUGGGGCUAAUACCGGAUAGGAGCUCCUGCUGCAUGGGGGGGGUUGGAAAGUUUCGGCGGUUGGGGAUGGACUCGCGGCUUAUCAGCUUGUUGGUGGGGUAGUGGCUUACCAAGGCUUCGACGGGUAGCCGGCCUGAGAGGGUGGCCGGCCACCUUGGGACUGCGAUACGGCCCAGACUCCUACGGGAGGCAGAAGUCGGGAAUAUUGCACAAUGGGCCGAAGCCUGAUGCAGCAACGCCGCGUGCGGGAUGACGGCCUUCGGGUUGUAAACCGCUUUCGCCUGUGACGAAGCGUGCGUGACGGUAAUGGGUCAAGAAGCCCCGGCUAACUACGUG